UCCCUGGUGGCUCAGAUGGUAAAGCAUCUGUCUACAAUGCAGGAAAGCUGGGUUCGAUCCCUGGGUGGGGAA
rnacentral:tRNA from 1 species